rnacentral:rRNA from 1 species
AGUGAACGCUGGCGGUAGGCCUAACACAUGCAAGUCGAACGGCAGCACAGGAGAGCUUGCUCUCUGGGUGGCGAGUGGCGGACGGGUGAGGAAUACAUCGGAAUCUACUCUGUCGUGGGGGAUAACGUAGGGAAACUUACGCUAAUACCGCAUACGACCUACGGGUGAAAGCAGGGGACCUUCGGGCCUUGCGCGAUUGAAUGAGCCGAUGUCGGAUUAGCUAGUUGGCGGGGUAAAGGCCCACCAAGGCGACGAUCCGUAGCUGGUCUGAGAGGGUGAUCAGCGACACUGGAACUGAGACACGGUCCAGACUCCUACGGGAGGCAGCAGUGGGGAAUAUUGGACAAUGGGCGCAAGCCUGAUCCAGCCAUACCGCGUGGGUGAAGAAGGCCUUCGGGUUGUAAAGCCCUUUUGUUGGGAAAGAAAUCCAGCUGGCUAAUACCCGGUUGGGAUGACGGUACCCAAAGAAUAAGCACCGGCUAACUUCGUGCCAGCCGCCGCGGUAA